rnacentral:rRNA from 1 species
AGGAUGAAUGCUGGCGGCGUGCCUAACACAUGCAAGUCGAACGGUAACAGAGAUAAUUUAUUAUUUGCUGACGAGUGGCGGACGGCUGAGUAACGCGUGGGAACAUACCCCAAAGUGAGGGAUAAGCUCCAGAAAUGGAGUCUAAUACCGCAUAUGGUCUUCGGAUUAAAGGAUUUAUCCGCUUUGGGAAUGGCCUGCGUACGAUUAGAUAGUUGGUGAGGUAAUGGCUUACCAAGUCUACGAUCGUUAGCUGGUCUGAGAGGAUGACCAGCCAGACUGGAACUGAGACACGGUCCAGACUCCUACGGGAGGCAGCAGUGAGGAAUCUUCCACAAUGGGC